rnacentral:rRNA from 1 species
UACGUAGGGCGCAAGCGUUAUCCGGAAUUACUGGGCGUAAAGAGCGCGCAGGCGGCUGGUCAAGUCCGAUGUGAAAGCUUCCGGCUUAACUGGGAAAUUGCAUCGGAAACUGAUCGGCUUGAAGGUGGGAGAGGGUAGUGGAAUUCCCGGUGUAGUGGUGAAAUGCGUAGAUAUCAGGAGGAACACCGGUGGCGAAGGCGGGUCUCUGGGCAGUAACUGACGCUGAGGAGCGAAAGCGUGGGGAGCGAACAGG